UACAGAGGGGGCAAGCGUUGUUCGGAAUUACUGGGCGUAAAGGGCGCGUAGGCGGCCUGUUAAGUCGAACGUGAAAUCCCCGGGCUCAACCCGGGAACUGCGUCCGAUACUGGCAGGCUUGAAUUCGGGAGAGGGAUGUGGAAUUCCAGGUGUAGCGGUGAAAUGCGUAGAUAUCUGGAGGAACACCGGUGGCGAAGGCGGCAUCCUGGACCGACACUGACACUGAGGAGCGAAAGCCAGGGGAGCAAACGGG
rnacentral:rRNA from 1 species